UGAAUACGAGACGCUAAGGCGUUGAAGUAGUGUAUGUCAUACUUCCAAGAAAAGCUUGCACUGUCAUAGAUAAAAAACGCCUGUACCAUAACCGACACAGGUGGGUAGGUAGAGUAUACUAAGGAGCGCGAGAUAACUCUCUCUAAGGAACUCGGCAAAAUAACUCCGUAACUUCGGGAGAAGGAGUGCCUUAUUUAUAAGGCUGCAAUAACAAGAUCCAAGCAACUGUUUAUCAAAAACACAGGUCUCCGCUAAGUCGCAAGACGAUGUAUGGGGGCUGACGCCUGCCCAGUGCCAGAAGGUUAAAGAAGUUGGUUAGCAAUAGCGAAGCUGAUAACUGAAGCCCUGGUGAACGGCGGCCGUAACGAUAACGGUCCUAAGGUAGCGAAAUUCCUUGUCGGGUAAGUUCCGACCCGCACGAAAGGCGUAAUGAUUUGGAUACUGUCUCGGAGAGGGGCUCGGUGAAAUAGACUUGUCUGUGAAGAUGCGGACUACCUGCACCAGGACAGAAAGACCCUAUGAAGCUUUACUGUAACUUGAAAUUGAAAUUGGACUUUAUUCGCGCAGUAUAGGUGGGAGGCGUUGAUUGUAAUCUUGCGGGAUUAUUGGAGCCAUCAGUGAGAUACCACCCUUGUAAUGUUAGAUUUCUAACUUUGAAUCAUUAUCUGGUCAAAGAACAGUUUCAGGCGGGCAGUUUGACUGGGGCGGUCGCCUCCUAAACGGUAACGGAGGCGUACAAAGGUUUCCUCUGAACGGUUAGAAAUCGUAUCUAGAGUGUAAAGGCAUAAGGAAGCUUGACUGUGAGACCUACAAGUCGAGCAGGGACGAAAGUCGGUCUUAGUGAUCUGACGGUACUGAGUGGAAAGGCCGUCACUCAACGGAUAAAAGUUACUCUAGGAUAACAGGCUGAUCUCCCCCAAGAGUUCACAUCGACGGGGAGGUUUGGCACCUCGAUGUCGGCUCAUCGCAUCCUGGGGCGGUAGUACGUCCCAAGGGUUUGGCUGUUCGCCCAUGAAAGCGGUACGCGAGCUGGGUUCAGAACGUCGUGAGACAGUUCGGUCCAUAUCCGGUGUAGGCGUUAGAAUAUUGAGAGGAGCCUUCUUUAGUACGAGAGGACCGAGAAGGACAUACCUCUGGUGUACCAGUUAUCGUGCCAACGGUAAACGCUGGGUAGCUAUGUAUGGAGUGGAUAACCGCUGGAAGCAUCUAAGUGGGAAGCCCACCUCAAGAUAAG
rnacentral:rRNA from 1 species